UACGGAGGGUGCAAGCGUUACUCGGAAUCACUGGGCGUAAAGGAUGCGUAGGCUGGAAAUCAAGUAGAGAGUGAAAUCCAAAGGCUCAACCGGUGAACUGCUCUCGAAACUGGUUACCUAGAAUAUGGGAGAGGUAGAUGGAAUUAGUGGUGUAGUGGUAAAAUACGUAGAGAUCACUAGGAAUACCGAUUGCGAAGGCGAUAUACUGGAACAUUAGUGACGCUGAGGCAUGAAAGCGUGGGGAGCAAACAGGAUUAGAUACCCGCGUAGUCC
rnacentral:rRNA from 1 species